GUGCCAGCCGCCGCGGUAAUACGAACCGUCCAAACGUUAUUCGGAAUUACUGGGCUUAAAGAGUUCGUAGGCGGUUGGGAAAGUUGGGUGUGAAAGCCCUCGGCUUAACCGAGGAAUUGCGCUCAAAACUACCUGACUAGAGGAAGAUAGAGGUGAGCAGAACUGAUGGUGGAGCGGUGAAAUGCGUUGAUAUCAUCAGGAAUACCGGAGGCGAAGGCGGCUCACUGGGUCUUUUCUGACGCUGAGGAACGAAAGCUAGGGGAGCAAACGGGAUUAGAUACCCGCGUAGUCC
rnacentral:rRNA from 1 species